UACUCCUACGGGGCGCAGCAGUGAGGAAUAUUGGUCAAUGGUCGGGAGACUGAACCAGCCAAGCCGCGUGAGGGAUGAAGGUACAGAGUAUCGUAAACCUCUUUUGUCAGGGAACAAAGGCGGGGACGCGUCCCCGGAUGAGUGUAACUGAAGAAAAAGCAUAGGCUAACUCCGUGCCAGCAGCCGCGGUAAUACGGAGGAUGCGGGCGUUAUCCGGAUUUAUUGGGUUUAGAGGGUGCGCAGGCGGUCUGUUAAGUCAGCGGUCAAAGCCCGGGGCGCAACCCCGGGCCGCCGUUGAAACUGGG
rnacentral:rRNA from 1 species